CUGGCGGCGGCGGCGGCGGCUCCUCGUACAGUAAAGUUAAACUCUUCUUCAGUGUAUCAUGAACGGGGAGGUUUUUCCGGUGUGCAAAUUGAAAGUGUGUUUCACCUUUUAGAAGAAAUGAGGUGACGCGGCGGCGGUCCCCCCCUGGAGGCGGCAGACCCGGCCACCUGGAGGUCCCCUGGAGGUCCCGGAGGAGGAGGUCGGCUCAUGUAGAGAGACCAACCAGCUCCUCAUCCAUGGAAGGAUUGAAGGAGUCACUGGGGAUGAAGAUCACUGCUCAGGGGCUGAUGACCAAACCCCCCCCCCCCCUUCCUCUCAUCUCUCCGGAGAAGAGGAGCAGAGGACGGACCUAAGGCCUGCAGCGCAGCCGACUAGAGACUCUCUGUGGAACAGGAUCAAGAAGUUCCUGACUUCUCCUUCAGGCGACUGAGGGAGAUCCGAUGUGCAGCAACUGGGUGUGGUGGUGCAGAGACCCAGUGUGAAGAGUUGAUUUACACCUGUGGUCCAGUGGCCUGCUUCCAUCUACCCUGAGGAUCCCUGGCUACACCUGCACAUCGAUCUACACCCAACAUUACCUCAGAGCUCCAUCUAUGCCAAUACUACACGCACUGAUAUCACUUUGCUGUUAACUUUUAAAACAGACAAAAUUGUCAUAACAUGUUUUGGGGGAAGAAUGUUUGAAUUAAUCUUUGAUUUGUCAUUUUAUUUCUGUACCCCAUAUCUAUGAUCCCAGCGGUUGUAUUUCUGACAAAGCUGGGAACCCUCUUUUAGGGAGCGACUAGAGGGACGAGGCUGGAAGCAAAGAUGCAGUAACUUCACUCGCUUACCGAUUAUCUAAACUCUCCUGCCUAAACUCGUUUGCCUAAACUCGCUUACACAAAACCGAAACUCACUUGCCUAAUGCCUAAACUCGCUUUCCUAAUGCCUAAAAUUGCUUGCAUGAAACCUAAACUCGCUUGCCUAAACUCACUUGUCUAAACUCGCUUGCAUGAAACCUAAACCCGCUUGCCUAAACCGCUUGCCUAAACCCGCUUGCCUGAAACCUAAACCCGCUUGCCUAAACCCGCUUGCAUGAAACCUAAACCCGCUUGCCUAAACCUAAACCCGCUUGCAUGAAACCUAAACCCGCUUGCCUAAACCCGCUUGCAUGAAACCUAAACCCGCUUGCAUGAAACCUAAACCCGCUUGCAUGAAACCUAAACCCGCUUGCAUGAAACCUAAACCCGCUUGCAUGAAACCUAAACCCGCUUGCAUGAAACCUAAACCCGCUUGCCUAAACAGGUUUAAAAAAUAAAUAAAAAGUGAACCAUCCCAAACCAGUCUUUUCUUGUCCCUGGGUCACUCCACUAUAUUUCAUAAUGGCUUUGUUUCAGUCAUCUUGGUUUUUGAGUUUAAUUUGAGGGCUUGAAAUGCUUUGGAUGAUAUUUGAACAAUUGUGUGCGACAUCAAUAAACAUGCUUUCUACCAA